AAUCACAACAAACUUGGCCCAAGUCACUUUACUCAAAUAAGGACUAACCUUACCGACCCCCAGAGCAAGCAUUAGGCAACUGUGGUGAGGAAAAACACCCUCUUAGGAAGAAACCUCAAGCAGACCAGGCUCUAGGGAGUGCCCCUCUGCUUGGGACAUGCUAUCUGAUACAAAUUA